rnacentral:lncRNA from 1 species
AUGAGAAUUUAAAAAAGCAAUAUUAUAAGAAAAAUAAAUUAUCAGAAGACGAAUUGAAAAUAUUAAGACAAAUAAAAGUAGAUAUACCUCGAACAAAAUCAUGUUAUAAUAUAUUUAAUAAUAAUAGAAUACAGCAAUUGGCUGAACACGUGUUAUUUGUUUAUUCUGUUCGACAUCCAGCUUGUGGGUAUGUGCAAGGUAUUAAUGAUUUGAUAACACCUUUUUUAAUAGUUUUUUUAAGACCUAUUUUAUUAAAAAAAAGAAAUAAAUUCAGACGAUAUAGAUAAUCUAACAGAUGAUGAAUUAAAAAAAUGUAGAGUCUGAUAUAUAUUUUUGUUUAUCGAAAUUAUUAGAACAAAUCCAAGAUAAUUAUACUUUUGGACAACCAGGGAUACAAAGAGCUAUAAUAAAAAUGCUAUUAUUUAUGCAACGUUUCCCAACACAUAACUGGAAAAUUCAAGACAUCGAAUCAAUUUUAUCAGAAGCUUUUGUUUUAAAAAAUGCUUUUCAAUCAUCUCCUAAACAUUUUUCUUAAUUCUUAUGUUACUGUUAAUUCAUGAACGAGAGAAAGUAGGAGUUAGAACUAGAGCAGAAGACGAAACAAAAGCAAAAUCAAUUCCGUAUAUACGCACAACAUAUAUGUGGGUUUCUAUAUUUUCACAACUUCAAAUUAUUAUUAUGAUGAUGAUGAAGCAUAGUUUUCAAAAAAAAAAAAAAAAAAAAAAUAUUUAUAAUUUAUAAUUUAUAAAACAGCAGAAAGUUUUCAUGCUCUGUUCAUUUUGUAUUAAAGGUGUGUAUAUAUAUAUAUAUAUAUAUAUAUACAUACGUGUUGCUAAAACACUUUUCCAAACAAAAUAUCGCUUUUUUUAUUUUUGUAUUUUACUCCUCAUAUAUUAUUAUUUAUAUAUGUUGCUAUCUCUUUUCACAUAUAAGUUACUUUUUUUUAAUU